rnacentral:rRNA from 1 species
GAUGAACGCUGGCGGCGUGCCUAAUACAUGCAAGUCGAGCGAACAGACGAGGAGCUUGCUCCUCUGACGUUAGCGGCGGACGGGUGAGUAACACGUGGAUAACCUACCUAUAAGACUGGGAUAACUUCGGGACACCGGAGCUAAUACCGGAUAAUAUAUUGAACCGCAUGGUUCAAUAGUGAAAGACGGUGUUGCUGUCACUUAUAGAUGGAUCCGCGCCGCAUUAGCUAGUUGGUAAGGUAACGGCUUACCAAGGCAACGAUGCGUAGCCGAGCUGAGAGGGUGAUCGGCCACCCUGGAACUGGGCCACGGUCCAGGCUCCUACGGGAGGCAGCAGUAGGGUAUCGUCCGCAGUGGGCGAAAGCCUGACGGAGCAGCGCCGCGUGAGUGAUGAAGGUCUUCGGAUCGUAAAACUCUGUUAUUAGGGAAGAACAAAUGUGGAAGUAACUAUGCACGUCUUGACGGUACCUAGUCAGAAAGCCACGGCUAACUACGUG